AUAACGACUCUCGGCAACGGAUAUCUCGGCUCUCGCAUCGAUGAAGAACGUAGUGAACUGCGAUACUUGGUGUGAAUUGCAGAAUCCCGUGAACCAUCGAGUCUUUGAACGCAAGUUGCGCCCGAAACCUUUGGUCGAGGGCACGUUUGCCUGGGUGUCACA
rnacentral:rRNA from 5 species